UACGUAGGGUCCGAGCGUUGUCCGGAAUUACUGGGCGUAAAGAGCUCGUAGGUGGUUUGUCGCGUUGUUCGUGAAAACUCACAGCUCAACUGUGGGCGUGCGGGCGAUACGGGCAGACUUGAGUACUGCAGGGGAGACUGGAAUUCCUGGUGUAGCGGUGGAAUGCGCAGAUAUCAGGAGGAACACCGGUGGCGAAGGCGGGUCUCUGGGCCGUUACUGACGCUGAGGAGCGAAAGCGUGGGGAGCGAACAGG
rnacentral:rRNA from 1 species